rnacentral:lncRNA from 1 species
CAUAAUUAAGGUUACAUAAGAAAUCAACACGGAAAAGUACUAACAGAAGACAACCUCCCACAACCUCAACUGGUGGAUUUGUUAACAUUUUAUUGGUUUUAGUUGAUGCCAUGUUAACAAAUUCACACUGGUUGUCUUUAUGCUUUAUGAAUCAUAGCACUUCCAAGUACUUCUCAGAGUGUGGCAGAGGAGUUUCAGAAAGGAUAUCCUCAACACAUCAUGCUUAAAUUGAUUGGAGUUGGGCAUAUGCCAAUGUAGUUUUUGGUUCAUGAAAGUGUUGUGUAGCCUGUAGGCAACCUUUUCUACUUUUAACUUAGAUCAUCACUCUGAAUGUGAUUUCUAAAAGGGUUUUAGUAUACUUUCCUCGUCUUUGUGUUAUAAUGGUGCAAGUAUUUCUCAUGUAGGUUACUGAUUUCAAUCUCCUGUAUCAACUUAUUUUAUCACCUUGU